GAGUCUUAAUUGGGCGUUAAGUUGCAGGGUAUAGACCCGAAACCCGGUGAUCUAGCCAUGGGCAGGUUGAAGGUUGGGUAACACUAACUGGAGGACCGAACCGACUAAUGUUGAAAAAUUAGCGGAUGACCUGUGGCUGGGGGUGAAAGGCCAAUCAAACCGGGAGAUAGCUGGUUCUCCCCGAAAGCUAUUUAGGUAGCGCCUCGUGAAUUCAUCUCCGGGGGUAGAGCACUGUUUCGGCUAGGGGGCCAUCCCGGCUUACCAACCCGAUGCAAACUGCGAAUACCGGAGAAUGUUAUCACGGGAGACACACGGCGGGUGCUAACGUCCGUCGUGAAGAGGGAAACAACCCAGACCGCCAGCUAAGGUCCCAAAGUCAUGGUUAAGUGGGAAACGAUGUGGGAAGGCCCAGACAGCCAGGAUGUUGGCUUAGAAGCAGCCAUCAUUUAAAGAAAGCGUAAUAGCUCACUGGUCGAGUCGGCCUGCGCGGAAGAUGUAACGGGGCUAAACCAUGCACCGAAGCUGCGGCAGCGAACGUAUCACCCAAGACAACUUUACGGAGUUGACGAUUGACGGAGCGAAGCGACGUCAAAGCGUUCAUUAAAGUCGAGUUGGCUUAGGGAUACGUUCGUUGGGUAGGGGAGCGUUCUGUAAGCCUGUGAAGGUGUGUCGUGAGGCAUGCUGGAGGUAUCAGAAGUGCGAAUGCUGACAUAAGUAACGAUAAAGCGGGUGAAAAGCCCGCUCGCCGGAAGACCAAGGGUUCCUGUCCAACGUUAAUCGGGGCAGGGUGAGUCGACCCCUAAGGCGAGGCCGAAAGGCGUAGUCGAUGGGAAACGGGUUAAUAUUCCCGUACUUGGUGUUACUGCGAAGGGGGGACGGAGAAGGCUAUGUUGGCCGGGCGACGGUUGUCCCGGUUUAAGCGUGUAGGUGUGUGUUCCAGGUAAAUCCGGUUCACUUUAACACUGAGGCGUGACGACGAGGCACUACGGUGCUGAAGCAACAAAUGCCCUGCUUCCAGGAAAAGCCUCUAAGCAUCAGGUAACACGAAAUCGUACCCCAAACCGACACAGGUGGUCAGGUAGAGAAUACCAAGGCGCUUGAGAGAACUCGGGUGAAGGAACUAGGCAAAAUGGUGCCGUAACUUCGGGAGAAGGCACGCUGACACGUAGGUGAAGUGAUUUACUCAUGGAGCUGAAGUCAGUCGAAGAUACCAGCUGGCUGCAACUGUUUAUUAAAAACACAGCACUGUGCAAACACGAAAGUGGACGUAUACGGUGUGACGCCUGCCCGGUGCCGGAA
rnacentral:rRNA from 1 species